rnacentral:misc_RNA from 1 species
UUGCAUGAUAAUGGCCGUCUAUAUGUCAAUUUGAAAGUAUCCUCCUGCAUUAAGGUAGGUGGGAGAGUAAAAGCGUACAGUAGUUAGCAGUGAUCCUUGAAUGAUCAAAUGUCUGGUGUGGAUAUCUGUUUGCCUAUUGGAGUAGGAUCAUAAAUCAGAUGUGAGAACGCGAGGGAGCAUUGAUCCCUGUACUCGCUUGAAAGACUGUCACCCG